rnacentral:tRNA from 1 species
GCCCAAGUGGUGGAAUUGGUAGACACGCUAGGUUCAGGGUCUAGUGACCGUAGGGUCGUGGGAGUUCGAGUCUCCCCUUGGGCA